UACGAGGGGGGCAAAUGUUGUUCGGAAUCACUGGGCGUAAAGGGUGCGUAGGCGGGUCUUUAAGUCAGGGGUGAAAUCCUGGAGCUCAACUCCAGAACUGCCUUUGAUACUGAAGAUCUUGAGUUCGGGAGAGGUGAGUGGAACUGCGAGUGUAGAGGUGAAAUUCGUAGAUAUUCGCAAGAACACCAGUGGCGAAGGCGGCUCACUGGCCCGAUACUGACGCUGAGGCACGAAAGCGUGGGGAGCAAACAGG
rnacentral:rRNA from 1 species